GAGUUUGAAUCCUGGCUCAGGACGAACGCUGGCGGCGUGCCUAAUACAUGCAAGUCGAGCGGACAGAUGGGAGCUUGCUCCCUGAUGUUAGCGGCGGACGGGUGAGUAACACGUGGGUAACCUGCCUGUAAGACUGGGAUAACUCCGGGAAACCGGGGCUAAUACCGGAUGGUUGUUUGAACCGCAUGGUUCAAACAUAAAAGGUGGCUUCGGCUACCACUUACAGAUGGACCCGCGGCGCAUUAGCUAGUUGGUGAGGUAACGGCUCACCAAGGCAACGAUGCGUAGCCGACCUGAGAGGGUGAUCGGCCACACUGGGACUGAGACACGGCCCAGACUCCUACGGGAGGCAGCAGUAGGGAAUCUUCCGCAAUGGACGAAAGUCUGACGGAGCAACGCCGCGUGAGUGAUGAAGGUUUUCGGAUCGUAAAGCUCUGUUGUUAGGGAAGAACAAGUACCGUCGAAUAGGGCGGUACUGACGUACUAGCGAGACCGAC
rnacentral:rRNA from 1 species